AGCAGCCGCGGUAAUUCCAGCUCCAAUAGCGUAUAUUAAAGUUGUUGCAGUUAAAAAGCUCGUAGUUGAAUUUCGGGACCAAUAUGUCGGUCGUGCUUCGGUACGUACUUGCAUUAUUGGUUUCUCCCUUCUGAGGAACCAUGAUGUCAUUAAUUUGGUGUCGUGGGAAAUCAGGACUGUUACUUUGAAAAAAUUAGAGUGUUUAAAGCAGGCAAGCGCUUGAAUACAUUAGCAUGGAAUAAUGAAAUAGGACGUUCGAUCCUAUUUUGUUGGUUUCUAGGAUUGACGUAAUGAUUAAUAGGGAUAGUUGGGGGCAUUAGUAUUUAAUUGUCAGAGGUGAAAUUCUUGGAUUUAUUGAAGACUAACUACUGCGAAAGCAUUUGCCAAGGAUGUUUUCAUUAAUCAAGAACGAAAGUUAGGGAUCGAAGACGAUCAGAUACCGUCGUAGUCUUAACCAUAAACUAUGCCGACUAGGGAUCGGAUGAUGUUAAUUUUUUAAUGACUCAUUCGGCGCCUUAAC
rnacentral:rRNA from 1 species